UUUUUCACAAGCUCAGCUCCGGUCUUCCGUUUCUUCUGAAGGUCUUAUACUCAGACCAGGACCAUCUUGUCUAAGAACCUCAAGGGCCCUCUUAACAUCUAACUUGACAGAAUCUAAGAACCCUUUUCUAAGUGAAAAGGGCUUAUGAUCACAGCUUGAAGUUGAAUCGUCCUUUAAAUUGAACCUUUCAUUAAAUGUAAAAACAAAAUAUGAAACUAUUUUUUUCAAAGGCUACUCGAUAC
rnacentral:lncRNA from 1 species